UUACAUUAACAAGAUUUACAUGAGAAUGGCUACCAGUCAAUGAGCUUUUCAAACUAGCUUAUUAAAUACCCCGUGGAUAUUCGUCCGACACCGGAUCUUCCUGCUUCACGGCUAUUUAUCCGACAACGCUUUAAAAGCUAACACUAAACCAGUAAAAGGGUUGCGUUGUUUCUUAAGAACGAAGCAACAACAUACUCGAUACGCUAUACGUUUCGUACGCGGUGCGUAAGCGAAAAUCACGAAGAAAAAAAAAAGUAUAAAAAAAAAUAAUAAAAUAAUGGCGCGAGCAAGAAUCGAUCCCAGAACUUGGCGCACACAAUACGGGUGCCUAAACCACUACACUACGAAGGAUUCGCUUGAAAUUCAAUUAAAUUUACGCUGUUUUAUUUUUAACGACUUUAACGAUAUGGAAAUGUCGGACGAAUAUCCACUUCCUAUUAAAUAUU